rnacentral:rRNA from 1 species
UACGGAAGGCAGCAGUGGGGAAUAUUGCACAAUGGGCGAAAGCCUGAUGCAGCUAUGCCGCGUGUAUGAAGAAGGCCUUAGGGUUGUAAAGUACUUUCAGCAGGGAGGAAAGAAAUAAAACUAAUAAUUUUAUUUUGUGACGUUACCUGAAGAAGAAGCACCGGCUAACUCCGUGCCAGCAGCCGCGGUAAUACGGAGGUGCAAGCGUUAAUCAGAAUUACUGGGCGUAAAGAGCGCGUAGGUGGUUUUUUAAGUCAGAUGUGAAAUCCCUAGGCUUAAACCUGGAACUGCAUUUUGAAACUGAAAAACUAGAGUAUCGUAGAGGGAGGUAGAAAUUCUAAGGUGUAGCGGUGAAAUGCGUAGAUAUCUGGAGGAAUACCUGUGGCGAAAGCGGCCUCCUAAACGAAUACUGACACUGAGGUGCGAAAGCGUGGGGAGCAAACAGGGAUUAGAUACC